rnacentral:rRNA from 1 species
ACUUUAAUUGAAGAGUUUGAUCAUGGCUCAGAUUGAACGCUGGCGGCAGGCCUAACACAUGCAAGUCGGGCGGCAGCGGGAAGAAGCUUGCUUCUUUGCC